UACGGAGGGUGCGAGCGUUGUCCGGAAUCAUUGGGCGUAAAGGGCGCGUAGGUGGCCCGGUCAGUUCGUGGUGAAAGCGCGGGGCUCAACUCCGCGUCGGCCAUGAAUACUGCUGGGCUGGAGCACUGUAGAGGCAGGCGGAAUUCCGGGUGUAGCGGUGGAAUGCGUAGAGAUCCGGAAGAACACCGGUGGCGAAGGCGGCCUGCUGGGCAGUUGC
rnacentral:rRNA from 1 species